AUUGAACGCUGGCGGCAUGCCCUACACAUGCAAGUCGAACGGCAGCACGGGAGCUUGCUCCUGGUGGCGAGUGGCGAACGGGUGAGUAAUGCAUCGGAACGUGCCCUGAAUGGGGGGAUAACGUAGCGAAAGUUACGCUAAUACCGCAUAUUCUGUGAGCAGGAAAGCAGGGGGAUCUUCGGACCUUGCGCUUUUUGGAGCGGCCGAUGUCGGAUUAGCUAGUUGGUGGGUAAAGGCCCACCAAGGCGACGAUCCGUAGCGGGUCUGAGAGGAUGAUCCGCCACACUGGAACUGAGACACGGUCCAGACUCCUACGGGAGGCAGCAGUGGGGAAUUUUGGACAAUGGGCGCAAGCCUGAUCCAGCCAUGCCGCGUG
rnacentral:rRNA from 1 species